GGUUCUGUCUAUUUGCCAAUGAGAAGUCAUUCAUUUUCAAUUUCAGGAAGACGGAGCCUAAUGAUUUUGAUUUGUUGAUUUGGUCAAGGCCUUGGGUUCUUGUACACAUUUUCAAUUUGCUAGUUUCUACAAUAGAUCCCACAAUGGUUAUUGUACAAAAGCAUCAUUGAAUAGUUUCUAGGCUCUUAAACUGUCUUUCUAACCAUUCUUGAAUAUUUCUGCUUGCUACUUUGAAUGAAUCUUAAGAUUUAUGCACAGAUGUUGGUGGAGUUUGUAUGAUUUUCCAACACAGAUUAAAAAGUUUGAGAAGUUUUACUGGAUUUAUUGAUACAUCUAUUUUUCUGUCCUAUAUGUCAUCUAUUUUAGUGAAAUGUCAAACACUUUGUUAAGCUACGAUUGAAUGUAUUUGAAACACUGAUACCGUCUCACCUAAUAUUUAGGGGCCCUUUGUUUUGUGAUCCAGGAAAAAGCAAAUCAAGUGAGAAGCUAAAAGAAGGACCCAGCUGAGAAGACAUGCGCUCUGGUAGCGAGAGAUAUACUGAAAGAAAUGGAUGUUAAUACUAGAUAUUCAGUUUGGGAGAACAGCAGGUCUGAUAUCGGAGGGGUACAUUGGAUUAUUAUCAGCAGUUUUAUGGCGAAGAUUACCAUGUUGAGUUCCCCUUUUGAAGCUUUAGCCCAUAUGACGUCUCUUUUAAGAUGCCUUUAUUGCUUACCGUAUCACUUGUUAGAGCCAUGCUGGAUUAUCGUAUCAUAGAUUAGGACGGUACAAGGAUGCCGUAAAAAAUACCACUCAAUGGUAUUGGAAAUCUUUGGCUGAGGACAUGAUAAAUCUGGUAAUACUGACUGAAGCUUGCAAAGCUGUUGUGGACUGUUAACCUGUACUCAGUUCAAUCUAAUUGUAUCAGUCAGUUCAUGAGUUUGCACUGUAUGUAUUCUCAAACAUAAAAUUAAAAUUUUCACAUA